rnacentral:rRNA from 1 species
GCGCCCGUCCCGCCGCCCCCGCCCCCUACGGGAGGCAGCAGGGGGGAAUUUUGGACAAUGGGCGAAAGCCUGAUCCAGCCAUUCCGCGUGAGUGAAGAAGGCCUUCGGGUUGUAAAGCUCUUUCGCAAGGGAAGAAAACUUACCUUCUAAUAAAGGGUGAGGCUGACGGUACCUUGAUAAGAAGCACCGGCUAACUACGUGCCAGCAGCCGCGGUAAUACGUAGGGUGCGAGCGUUAAUCGGAAUUACUGGGCGUAAAGCGUGCGCAGGCGGUUUGGCAAGUCAGAUGUGAAAUCCCCGAGCUCAACUUGGGAACUGCGUUUGAAACUGCCAGACUAGAAUAUGUCAGAGGGGGGUAGAAUUCCACGUGUAGCAGUGAAAUGCGUAGAGAUGUGGAGGAAUACCAAUGGCGAAGGCAGCCCCCUGGGAUAAUAUUGACGCUCAUGCACGAAAGCGKGGGAGCAAACAGGAUUAGAACCCGGUUAG